UAAUCAUAUGCUUGUCUUAAAGACUAAGCCGUGCAAGUCUAAGGAUAAACACUUUUAUCGUAAACCUGCAAACGGCUCAUUAAAUCAGUUUCAAUCUACUCGAUCGUAUAAUUCUACUUGGAUAACUGUAGUAAUUCUAGAGCUAAUACAUGCAAAAAACCCAAACGUAAGAAUGGGUGUAAAUAUUUGACUUAAAACCAAUACGAGUAUCCAAACUCUUCUUAGUAACUUUUGAAGGGGCUCGUUUUACUUUUGAUUAAAAAUACAAUUACGAAUCGCGAUUUAAUUAUGUGAUGAUACGAACGAAAUUCUGCCCUAUCAACUUUCGAUGGUAAAGUAGAGGUUUACCAUGGUUUUAACGGGUAACGGAGAAUCUGGGUUUGAUUCCGGAGAAAAGGCCUGAGAGACGGCCAUUACUUCUAAGGAAGGCAGCAGGCGCGUAAAUUACCCAAUCCUAAUUCGGGGAGGUAGUGACGAGAAAUACUUGUAUUGGCCCCAACGGGGACAAUGAUAGGAAUGAGAACAAUGUAAAUAACUUAACGACUAACAAUU
rnacentral:rRNA from 1 species